UUACGGUCAAAUCACGCUGAAAACACCGGUUCUCGUUCGAUCACCGAAGUUAAGCAUCGUAGAGCCAGGUCAGUACUUAGAUGGGGGACCGCUUGGUACUGUAAGCACCUGGUACUG